GAGUUUGAACCUGGCUCAGGACGAACGCUGGCGGCGUGCUUAACACAUGCAAGUCGAGCGAAGCACUUCGUUUUGAAUCUUCGGAGGAAGAACGGAAUGACUGAGCGGCGGACGGGUGAGUAACGCGUGGGCAACCUGCCUCAUACAGGGGGAUAACAGUUAGAAAUGACUGCUAAUACCGCAUAAGACCGCGGUACCGCAUGGUACAGCGGUAAAAACUCCGGUGGUAUGAGAUGGGCCCGCGUCUGAUUAGCUAGUUGGCGGGGUAACGGCCCACCAAGGCGACGAUCAGUAGCCGACCUGAGAGGGUGACCGGCCACAUUGGGACUGAGACACGGCCCAAACUCCUACGGGAGGCAGCAGUGGGGAAUAUUGCACAAUGGGGGAAACCCUGAUGCAGCGACGCCGCGUGAGCGAUGAAGUAUUUCGGUAUGUAAAGCUCUAUCAGCAGGGAAGAAGAUGACGGUACCUGACUAAGAAGCCCCGGCUAACUACGUGCCAGCAGCCGCGGUAAUACGUAGGGGGCAAGCGUUAUCCGGAUUUACUGGGUGUAAAGGGAGCGUAGACGGCGGUGCAAGCCAGAUGAGAAAGCCCGGGGCUCAACCCCGGGACUGCAUUUGGAACUGUAUGGCUGGAGUGUCGGAGAGGCAGGCGGAAUUCCUAGUGUAGCGGUGAAAUGCGUAGAUAUUAGGAGGAACACCAGUGGCGAAGGCGGCCUGCUGGACGAUGACU
rnacentral:rRNA from 1 species